rnacentral:lncRNA from 1 species
UGUGUGUGUACACACACACACACACACACACAUAUAUAUAUAUAUCAGUAUUUCUACUGAAAUCCUAAUGCAUAUUUUGUGUUCUGUUUUCACCUGGCAGAUAAUGGAAAAUAAGAAAUCGAUAGAGAAGCUUAAAGAGGUCAUUUCAGCGAAUACUAAUGAACUUUCAGAGGUAAAGCUGCCAACUCUUGCUAACGGGUAUUAAUACUACAUCUUAGUUUUCUUGCGGACCAAAAAUUUGAGGUGUGCUAAAAUGUGCAAAAAAUGAGAACUAUAUGAUGUCUGGUUUGGGAGAGUAUAACUUUGUUUUUUCUUUGGAAUUAAUUCACUAACUGUAGUGUUUUGCAUUAGCUUCAAAUUGUCCUUAAUGAAGCUAAGCUUCAUGAAGAGAAGGUGAAGUUGGAAUGCUGUCGGCUUCAGAAAGAAAAUACCAUGCUUAAGAAGAAGAAAGAGCAGGUAAAGAAAAUUUGAUGUCAUACAUAAUGUAAACUAGAGAAGUGAAUAUCAUUAUCUUGUAUCUUUCUUGGAUCUGUUUCUGAGGUAAGGAAUAUUCAUGUAGGACCUUUUCUAGAUAUGCAAAGUUUAAACAAUGCUCCCCAAAUUGAGUGCAUAUAUAUGUUCUCCAUCUGUUUUGGAUUUUGGGAUUAUUGCUUUUCUUAUCAAAUAUCAAUCAGUUAUUAACUUGCAUAGCCUCAAAGAAACUUUUUAAACCAGAAAAUUAAGUAUUGUAUGAUCCUCUUUUGAGUAGUUACUGAUUCACCGGCCAAGGGAAGAUUACAUGAUAAGGAGUCUAAAUUUAGGAGACAGUCAUAUGUGCCCAGCCAUUCCUGCUGGAGGUAAAUUAUUUGAAUUGGCAGCAAUUUUCUGGGGAAUGCAAUAAACAGGGUCAACUUCCUGAUAGCUCUGAUGUUCUUACUGCAGCUGUGAGAGUUGGGGCCACUCUGCCCUCUUCCUUAACCAAGGUCUCAACCCCCUCGAUUGAGGCAGGCCACCGAGGAGUAUGGCUCUCUAUUUCUUUGUCUAAGUCUUGUAGUCCUGAUGUAUCCAGUGCAGAAACCCCUCCCUAACCCAUAGGAAUUCAUGUGUUUUGGCUUUUCAGUUGCAGCAGGAAGUCAAAGACUGGAGUACAUCACAUGCUGAGCUCAGUGAACAAAUCAAAUCAUUUGAGAAGUCCCAGAAAGAUUUACAAGUAGCUCUUAGUCACAAAGAAGAUACUGUUAACGUAAGUUUAUACUCCAAAUACAUGUUUCAUCUCAUGAAUUCUCCUGAAAUCUUCUGAAUUAAAAUCGAGAGUCUUCCAACCUUUUGCUUCUUUUCUAGGCUUUGACUAAUUAUAUCACACAGUUGAAUCGGUUACAAUGUGAAUCUGAAUCUGAGGAUCAAAAUAGAGAAGAUGAGUCAGAUGAAUUAACCAAUGGAGAGGUAGCAGGUAAGAUCAGUCUCAGGGAGGUUGAAUCCUUUUUUGCUUUCCUGUCUUUAAUUAAGUAUACAGAUGCCACUUUUCAGCUGGCUGAAUUUCUUCUUAAGCUUCAGGGUUGUAGACACAUAUCACUGGAUCUAUAGAUAUGUCUGUUGCAUUGGCAGAAGUGGGUUGCUGGGGUAUAAUGUAGCAAUAGGCAUGUGAAGAACACUGACUUUUUCUAUCCCAUUGAAAAAUAGUAAGUACACUGCACUACAAUAGUCACAUCCUAUACCUCUAAGUAUUGAACAUUGUACAGUAAGAGAAAUUUAUUUCUUUUACUUAUGCAGAUGAUACUUGAUUUUGAUACUCAUCAUCUCUAUGGCUCUGUGGUUUUAAGGUCCACAGUCAGUCUUAAGAGUCCGGAGGUAGUUGGAACCAUAAACUAAGGCUGUGAGAACAGAGGCUAGAGACUAUCAGAAAGCUAGAGAGGGAGUACUGAUGAGGAAAAUAUUUCCAGAUGUUUUCUCCCAAGUUGGAUAUUGCUUACAUAGCAAGUAUUUCAAACCACACCUGGUAGUAGAUUCAGGGAGAAAAUAGAGGAUUGAAUCUUUCUAAAUAAGACACUUACUUGCCCAGGUGCAGAUAGAUCUGAGAGAGAAGAAAAGCUUUUAUCUUACAAGAAUAACAUAGAUGACAUUUUAGUUGUGCAAACUAGAAAUUCACCUUUUGUUUGUUUGUUUGUUUUUAAGACAGACACAGUACUUUUAUUUAUUUUUAUGCUGAGGAUCAAACUCAGUGCCUCACACAUGCUAGGUGAGCACUCUACCACUGAGCCACAACCCCAGCCUGAAAUUCACCUCUCUCUCUCUCUUUUUUUUUUUUUUUUUUAAAUCUAAGCUUGCAAUUCUCUUAAAAGUCAUUAGUCUAAUCAGUUUAGUUAUUUAAUUGAUUUUUUUGUUUUGUUUGAACACAAUCAUUAUUUAGUUUGGGGAAGUUAGGAGAAUAUAGAGUUAAAAGUAAGGAAAGAAAAAGCUAAAGUCUUUUGUUUUUUAGGUGAUCGGAAUAAGAAGAUCAAAGAUCAAAUUAAGCAGAUGAUGGAUGUCUCUCGGGUAUAGUUCUUUGUAAGAGUCCCAUAGUGCCUGUGAAUUCUUCCUGUGCCUCACUUUUAAGAAUACCUCUCUUUUCUGCAAUUUUUAGACACAAACUACAAUAUCAGUAGUUGAAGAGGAUCUAAAACUUUUACAACUUAAGCUAAGAGACUCGAUGUCCACAAAAUGUAAUCUAGAAGGUGGGUUCUUCUUGAGAAGAAAUUGCUAUGUUGGAAAGACUUAAAAUUUUAUUGGAAAGAUAAAGAAUGGCUUCUUGCUUUCGUGCUUCUUACUUUUCUUGGCACUACUCCCUCAAACAAGUUCUUAAGUCCUUGUACACAUAUAGAGAUAAGCUGUUUUAUCCUUUACAGACCAAAUAAAGAAAUUAGAAAGUAACUACAGUUCACUACAGUCUUCUAAAGUUGAACUGGAAGAGGAAUGUAAAACU